AGCUCUCCAUGCUGGCUGUGUGGCCAGCAUACCUCCUGCCUUUUCAACGAUUCCUCUGCCCUGGAUAGAGAGCGGUGUCUCAUAACAGUUUGGAAACUACAAAAGUUUCCCUGGCAGGAUGAAUGAUUGACUCGGCAACAUGUUCUUGCCUUUUGGAGUUGCCCUCCAAUUUUUCCAGGCUUGAUUCUGUAAAUCAUUUCAUCUUGUAAAAAUACUGGGCUGUGAGCACGGAUGAUCUCAAAGAUGAGGAAACAGAAGCUGGGAUAUGUGAGUAAACAUUUCCAAGGUCCUGCAGCUAAUCAAUGGUUGACAACUUCUUUCCUCUGCCUAUGUUGCCAUCCAUGUCAUGGUUUGUGUCAAGACUCUAGGAGAAGUCUACCAUCAGCACCACAGCUACUGUGCACAAAUCCAGAAUGCCAGACUGAAGUCAGAAGGAAAGGGUUCUUAAACAAGGGAGAAGCACUCUCAUACCCCUAGAACAAGAUGAACAAAAGAAGGAGGAAAAAUCUUGACCUCCGUAAGAUCCAGGAUGGCACGUGCAAGGCACUGACACAGCAUCUGCCGGCAUCACUGACUCUCCUGGACCCCAGAAGCCCAGUUCCCCAGGCUCUGAAACCCUGCAGCAAUGAAAAGGAAGCACAGGCAAACCAUAAGGAAGAUAAUUUUUCUACUAAAAAAUAAAUAGAAAUGCAUCCUUAGAGGCAGGUUUCAUGAGGACACAGAGAAUCCGGUUUUGUGUGUGCCUGAUUUCGUUUUUCUGUCAAAGAGAUACAAAACAAUCAACUGAGUUAUCUUGAACUUACAAAGAUUAAAAAUAAUCAAUUCCUGUUACUAUUUUCAAUUUUUCCCCCAUUUUACUUCUUUAGGUAUGAAGAAAUGUAGCCUAUUAAAACCUGGAUUAAUAAAAACCUUUCAUUAACUUUUAGAAGGUGUGUGAUAACGAAAUCAGUGUAUGUCCAAUAACCUUGUCCAGUGACUAUGAAUUCAGGCCAAUUAAUUAGUGAUUCUCAACCUUGG
rnacentral:lncRNA from 1 species